rnacentral:rRNA from 1 species
UAAUACGGGGGGAGCAAGCGUUGUCCGGAAUUACUGGGCGUAAAGGGCGUGUAGGUGGACUGAUUAGUCAGAUGUGAAAGCCCGCGGCUUAACCGCGGAACUGCAUUUGAUACUGUCAGUCUUGAGUUCGAGAGAGGGUAGUGGAAUUCCCAGUGUAGCGGUGAAAUGCGUAGAUAUUGGGAAGAACACCAGUAGCGAAGGCGGCUACCUGGCUCGCAACUGACGCUAAUGCGCGAAAGCGUGGGGAGCAAACAGGAUUAGAUACCCUGGUAGUCCACGCUGUAAACGAUGGGCACUAGGUGUUGGUUCCGCUUGCGGAAUCGGUGCCGCAGCUAACGCAUUAAGUGCCCCGCCUGGGGGAGUACGGUCGCAAGAUUA